UACGUAGGGUGCAAGCGUUGUCCGGAAUUAUUGGGCGUAAAGCGCGCGUAGGCGGUUUGGAAAGUCAGAUGUGAAAGCCCCGGGCUCAACUUGGGAACUGCAUUUGAUACUGCCAGACUAGAGUACAGAAGAGGUGACUGGAAUUCCCAGUGUAGCGGUGAAAUGCGUAGAUAUUGGGAGGAACACCAGAUGCGAAGGCGGGUCACUGGGCUGAUACUGACGCUGAUGCGCGAAAGCCAGGGGAGCGAACGGG
rnacentral:rRNA from 1 species